rnacentral:rRNA from 1 species
UAUAGAUAGCGUGAAAGCUCAA